rnacentral:rRNA from 1 species
GAUGAACGCUGGCGGCGUGCCUAAUACAUGCAAGUAGAACGCUGAAGGAAGGAGCUUGCUCUUUCCGGAGGAGUUGCGAACGGGCGAGUAAGGCGUAGGUAACCUGCCUGGUAGCGGGGGAUAAUUAUUGGAAACGAUAGCUAAUACCGCAUAAUAGUAGAUGUUGCAUGAUAUCUACUUAAAAGGUGCAAUUGCACCACUACCAGAUGGACCUGAGUUGUAUUAGGUAGGUGGUGAGGUAACGGCUCACCAAGGCAACGAUACCUAGGCGGCCUGGGAGGGAGGACGGGCCAACUGGGAACGGGACACCGCCCAGGACCCUUAGGGGGGGAGCAGUAGGGGAACUUUGGCAAAGGGGGGAAAGCUGGCCGAACACCGCCGGGUGGGGGGAGGAAGUUUUCGGGUUGUAAAGCUCUGUUGUAAGAGAAGAACGAGUGUGAGGGUAGAAAGUUCACGCUGUGACGGUAUCUAACCAGAAAGCAACGGCUAACUACGUG